UGAGAGCAGCGGUCUUAUGAGCCGUGUGUCGCCGGUUCAAAUCCGGCUG
rnacentral:tRNA from 15 species